rnacentral:rRNA from 1 species
UACGAGGGGUGCAAGCGUUGCUCGGAAUUAUGGGGCGUAAAGGGUAGGUAGGUGGUCUCAUGUGUCCGGGGUGAAAGCCUUGAGCUUAACUCAAGAAGUGCCCCGGAAACGGUGAGACUCGAGUACUGGAGAGGGUCGUGGAAUUCCCGGUGUAGCGGUGAAAUGCGUAGAGAUCGGGAGGAACACCAGAGGCGAAGGCGGCGACCUGGACAGUUACUGACACUCAACUACGAAAGCGUGGGGAGCAAACAGG